UAGUCAUGUUGAGGACACCUCCGAAUGAGGUCAUUGAAUCGCUCCCAUGCCUCGUAAAGAGGCUCAAAAUCUAACUGUAUGAAUUGAACGAUCUCGCUCCUCAACUG
rfam:Morus notabilis contig12869, whole genome shotgun sequence.